rnacentral:rRNA from 1 species
GACAGAGGGUGCAAACGUUGCUCGGAAUCACUGGGCGUAAAGGGCGUGUAGGCGGGCAGGUAAGUCGGGCGUGAAAUCCCUGAGCUCAACUCAGGAACUGCACUCGAAACUACUUGUCUUGAGUACCGGAGAGGAAAGCGGAAUACCUGGCGUAGAGGUGAAAUUCGUAGAUAUCAGGUGGAACACCAGUGGCGAAGGCGGCUUUCUGGACGGUAACUGACGCUGAGACGCGAAAGCGUGGGGAGCAAACAGG